rnacentral:rRNA from 7 species
UUAAGCGACUAAGCGUACACGGUGGAUGCCCUGGCAGUCAGAGGCGAUGAAGGACGUGCUAAUCUGCGAAAAGCGUCGGUAAGGUGAUAUGAACCGUUACAGCCGGCGAUGUCCGAAUGGGGAAACCCAGUGCAAUUCGUUGCACUAUCGUUAACUGAAUACAUAGGUUAACGAGGCGAACCGGGGGAACUGAAACAUCUAAGUACCCCGAGGAAAAGAAAUCAACCGAGAUUCCCCCAGUAGCGGCGAGCGAACGGGGAGCAGCCCAGAGUCUGAAUCAGCUUGUGUGUUAGUGGAACGGUCUGGAAAGUCCGACGGUACAGGGUGAUAGUCCCGUACACCAAAAUGCACAGGUUGUGAACUCGAAGAGUAGGGCGGGACACGUGGUAUCCUGUCUGAAUAUGGGGGGACCAUCCUCCAAGGCUAAAUACUCCUGACUGACCGAUAGUGAACCAGUACCGUGAGGGAAAGGCGAAAAGAACCCCGGCGAGGGGAGUGAAAAAGAACCUGAAACCGUGUACGUACAAGCAGUGGGAGCACCUUCGGGUGUGACUGCGUACCUUUUGUAUAAUGGGUCAGCGACUUAUAUUCUGUAGCAAGGUUAACCGUAUAGGGGAGCCGCAGGGAAACCGAGUCUUAACUGGGCGUUAAGUUGCAGGGUAUAGACCCGAAACCCGGUGAUCUAGCCAUGGGCAGGUUGAAGGUUGGGUAACACUAACUGGAGGACCGAACCGACUAAUGUUGAAAAAUUAGCGGAUGACUUGUGGCUGGGGGUGAAAGGCCAAUCAAACCGGGAGAUAGCUGGUUCUCCCCGAAAGCUAUUUAGGUAGCGCCUCGUGAACUCAUCUUCGGGGGUAGAGCACUGUUUCGGCUAGGGGGUCAUCCCGACUUACCAACCCGAUGCAAACUACGAAUACCGAAGAAUGUUAUCACGGGAGACACACGGCGGGUGCUAACGUCCGUCGUGAAGAGGGAAACAACCCAGACCGCCAGCUAAGGUCCCAAAGUCAUGGUUAAGUGGGAAACGAUGUGGGAAGGCACAGACAGCCAGGAUGUUGGCUUAGAAGCAGCCAUCAUUUAAAGAAAGCGUAAUAGCUCACUGGUCGAGUCGGCCUGCGCGGAAGAUGUAACGGGGCUAAACCAUGCACCGAAGCUGCGGCAGCGACACUAUGUGUUGUUGGGUAGGGGAGCGUUCUGUAAGCCUGCGAAGGUGUGCUGUGAGGCAUGCUGGAGGUAUCAGAAGUGCGAAUGCUGACAUAAGUAACGAUAAAGCGGGUGAAAAGCCCGCUCGCCGGAAGACCAAGGGUUCCUGUCCAACGUUAAUCGGGGCAGGGUGAGUCGACCCCUAAGGCGAGGCCGAAAGGCGUAGUCGAUGGGAAACAGGUUAAUAUUCCUGUACUUGGUGUUACUGCGAAGGGGGGACGGAGAAGGCUAUGUUAGCCGGGCGACGGUUGUCCCGGUUUAAGCAUGUAGGCUGGUUAUCCAGGCAAAUCCGGAUAAUCAAGGCUGAGGUGUGAUGACGAGGCACUACGGUGCUGAAGUAACAAAUGCCCUGCUUCCAGGAAAAGCCUCUAAGCAUCAGGUAACAUCAAAUCGUACCCCAAACCGACACAGGUGGUCAGGUAGAGAAUACCAAGGCGCUUGAGAGAACUCGGGUGAAGGAACUAGGCAAAAUGGUGCCGUAACUUCGGGAGAAGGCACGCUGGUGUGUAGGUGAAGUCCCUGCGGAUGGAGCUGAGACCAGUCGAAGAUACCAGCUGGCUGCAACUGUUUAUUAAAAACACAGCACUGUGCAAACACGAAAGUGGACGUAUACGGUGUGACGCCUGCCCGGUGCCGGAAGGUUAAUUGAUGGGGUUAUCCGUAAGGAGAAGCUCUUGAUCGAAGCCCCGGUAAACGGCGGCCGUAACUAUAACGGUCCUAAGGUAGCGAAAUUCCUUGUCGGGUAAGUUCCGACCUGCACGAAUGGCGUAAUGAUGGCCAGGCUGUCUCCACCCGAGACUCAGUGAAAUUGAACUCGCUGUGAAGAUGCAGUGUACCCGCGGCAAGACGGAAAGACCCCGUGAACCUUUACUAUAGCUUGACACUGAACAUUGAGCCUUGAUGUGUAGGAUAGGUGGGAGGCUUUGAAGCGUGGACGCCAGUCUGCGUGGAGCCAACCUUGAAAUACCACCCUUUAAUGUUUGAUGUUCUAACGUUGGCCCCUGACCGGGGUUGCGGACAGUGUCUGGUGGGUAGUUUGACUGGGGCGGUCUCCUCCCAAAGCGUAACGGAGGAGCACGAAGGUUAGCUAAUCCUGGUCGGACAUCAGGAGGUUAGUGCAAUGGCAUAAGCUAGCUUGACUGCGAGCGUGACGGCGCGAGCAGGUGCGAAAGCAGGUCAUAGUGAUCCGGUGGUUCUGAAUGGAAGGGCCAUCGCUCAACGGAUAAAAGGUACUCCGGGGAUAACAGGCUGAUACCGCCCAAGAGUUCAUAUCGACGGCGGUGUUUGGCACCUCGAUGUCGGCUCAUCACAUCCUGGGGCUGAAGUAGGUCCCAAGGGUAUGGCUGUUCGCCAUUUAAAGUGGUACGCGAGCUGGGUUUAGAACGUCGUGAGACAGUUCGGUCCCUAUCUGCCGUGGGCGCUGGAGAAUUGAGGGGGGCUGCUCCUAGUACGAGAGGACCGGAGUGGACGCAUCACUGGUGUUCGGGUUGUCAUGCCAAUGGCACUGCCCGGUAGCUAAAUGCGGAAGAGAUAAGUGCUGAAAGCAUCUAAGCACGAAACUUGCCCCGAGAUGAGUUCUCCCUGAGACUAUAAGUCUCCUGAAGGAACGUUGAAGACGACGACGUUGAUAGGCCGGGUGUGUAAGCGCAGCGAUGCGUUGAGCUAACCGGUACUAAUGAACCGUGAGGCUUAACCUU